UGCGAAUGGCUCAUUAAAUCAGCUAUGGUUUAUUGGAUCGUACCCGUCAGAUGGAUAACUGUAAUAACUCUAGAGCUAAUACAUGCCACGAAGCCCUGACUUGCAUCGCCUCGCGCGGUGCAGGGAUGGGUGCUCUUAUUAGAUCAGAAACCAACCGAGUCGUGGCCGGCUUGCUGGUCGCGGCUUGUUGUCGUUCUGGUGACUCUGGAUAAUUGUUACAGAUCGCAGUCGGCCUUGAGUCGGCGACGGGUCCUUCAAAUGUCUGCCCUAUCAACUUUCGAUGGUAGGCAAUCUGCCUACCAUGGUGAUAACGGGUAACGGGGAAUCAGGGUUCGAUUCCGGAGAGGGAGCCUGAGAAACGGCUACCACUUCCAAGGGAGGCAGCAGGCGCGCAAAUUACCCACUCCCGGUACGGGGAGGUGGUGACGAAAAAUACCGAUGCGGGACUCUUCAAGAGGCUCCGUAAUCGGAAUGAGUGAACUCUAAAUCCUUUCACGAGGAUCAAUUGGAGGGCAAGUCUGGUGCCAGCAGCCGCGGUAACUCCAGCUCCAAUAGCGUAUAUUAAAGUUGCUGCAGUUAAAAAGCUCGUAGUUGGAUCUCGGUUGCACUGUUGCCCGCCAUGGCUUGGCCAGAUGGGUGCCGGGUGAUGCAUUGGUCGAGUACCGUGUUCGCCGCCGGUGUCUGCCUGUCGUCGAGUUGGUGUGGUGUCGGUGUCGCCUUUUAGCCAUGUCUGUGGUGAAAUACCCACAGGUGUAGGCGAGUGUCGGGCGGUGCCUUGCACACGUGGGGUCCGUCGGCUCGUCUGCAUGCCUUUGGAUGCCCUUCAAAAGGUGUCUGUGGGCGGAUGGCACGUUUACUUUGAACAAAUUUGAGUGCUCAAACCAGGCCGCUGUAGCCUGAAAAGUUUUGCAUGGAAUAAUGGAAUAGGACUUCGGUUCUAUUUUGUUGGUUUUCGGAUCCGAAGUAAUGAUCAAGAGAGACAGGCGGGGACGUUUGUAUGGUUGCGCUAGAGGUGAAAUUCAUGGACCGUAACCAGACAGACUAAAGCGAAAGCAUUCGUCAAGCAUGUUUUCAUUGGCCAUGAGCGAAAGUCAGAGGCUCGAAGACGAUCAGAUACCGUCCUAGUUCUGACCAUAAACGAUGCCAACUGACGAUCCGUGGUGGUAGUUUCAUAACCGUCCCCACGGGCAGCCUCCGGGAAACCUUUAAGUCUAUGGGUUCCGGGGGAAGUAUGGUUGCAAAGCUGAAACUUAAAGGAAUUGACGGAAGGGCACCACCAGGAGUGGAGCCUGCGGCUUAAUUUGACUCAACACGGGAAAACUCACCCGGGCCGGACACUGUGAGGAUUGACAGAUUGAAAGCUCUUUCUUGAUUUGGUGGUUGGUGGUGCAUGGCCGUUCUUAGUUGGUGGAGCGAUUUGUCUGGUUAAUUCCGAUAACGAACGAGACUCUAGCCUGCUAAUUAGUGCGCCUGUCCUCUGUUCCUGUGCGGGUGGCUCUCAGCGAUACUGCCUUGCUAUGCCGGGCUGCCUGUGUGCGGUGCACUCACGGUCGGUUGCCUAGUAGUGCCUGUGUGUGCGAGUGCGUGCCGGUGUGUGCAUGUGCGGGUCGGCGUGCUGACCUGUGUGUGCCUGCUGGUGUGUGCUUGUGCGCCGGUCUUCGGGUGGCUGGCUAACAAGUGGGUGUGCAUGUGCUUGGUGGUCGGGUUGAGGCGGUGGAGUUCGGGCUUGCCUCCGGGUACGGCGCAGGUGUCUACUUCUUAGAGGGACAAGCAUACACAAAUGCACGAGAUUGAGCAAUAACAGGUCUGUGAUGCCCUUAGAUGUCCGGGGCCGCACGCGCGCUACAAUGACGGUGCCAACGAGUCUGACCUCCUGGCCCGAAAGGGUUGGGCAAACUGGUCAAUCACCGUCAUGUCAGGGAUCGGGGCUUGGAAUUGUUCCCCGUGAACCAGGAAUUCCUAGUAAGUGCAAGUCAUAAGCUUGCGCUGAUUACGUCCCUGCCCUUUGUACACACCGCCCGUCGCUACUACCGAUUGAAUGGUUUAGUAAGGUCCUUGGAUCGGUGCCAUUGCAGUGGCUGCCGCAAGGCAUGUCCUCUCGACAGGCGCUGAGAAGACGACCAAACUUGAUCAUUUAGAGGAAGUAAAAGUCGUAACAAGAGAAAGUAAAAGUCGAAAAAGAGGAAUACAAGACAGAC
rnacentral:rRNA from 1 species